rnacentral:rRNA from 1 species
GAAAAUUUGUGGACGUACCUUGAACAAAUCGGUUUGUUCAAAACAGGCCAUAUUGAGCGCCUGGACAUUCGAGCAUGGAAUGAUCGAUCGAGACCUGAUCGUUUGGUCGGAAACGAGUAAGGUCCAGGUCAAAAGGGACAUUUGGGGGCAUACGAACUCGGCAGCGAGAGGUGAAAUUCUAAGACCUGCCGAG